GAAAGAGGCCGAAGGGAGAUCGUUGCGCAGUUGGGGAGGGGCGUUGGCCGAAGGCGGUGCUCGGUCGCCUGGGCAACGACGGCUUAGCCCGACUAGUGGAGAGGUGGCCCCGGCAGUUUGCGCAGGCGCAUAGAAGAGCAGCAGGGCCGUUGGUUUCCCAGAGAGAAGACCCCAACGGUUAGUCCCGCUGUGGGCCUGUUGCCAUGGGGACCCCGGACUGUGGAGCAAGGGAACCGCUGGGCCUCGCUCCUCCUGGCAAAGUUAGAAUCCUGUUCAUUUGGCUCGAGAUAUGAAGAGAUAGGAUCGUCGCCCCGGGAGGCUGAGAGAGAGAGUAAAUUCUUGCUGGCCUGGCGCCCCGUUCGAGUGCCGGUUGAAGGUAGGGGAAAGAGCCCUGGACUUGAUGGGCUGCGGAGUCAGAACACCAGAACGCCAAUCCAGCUCUACUCUUCCCUGGCUACGUAACCUGGGUCAAGGCUUUGGGCCUCUCGGGGCUUCAGGUUUCCUCCUUUGUGCCCCAAGUUUCUUCCAGCUUUGACGUCCUGUGAUGUCCCUGGAGGGAAAGCACUACAUCUCGCUAAGGAUCAAGGACCUCGGAGCUUCCCUGGAAAACGAGACUUCAAUUCAUCAGGACAAUAAAAGAAUUGCCCGCUGGGCACGGAAGGGGAGUUUAGGCAAGAAGAUACCAGGCAUGGAGAACAUUGGGCAGUGAAAUCAGCUAGAAGAUUUCAGAAGCAAUCUUAAAAAAAAAAAAAAAGAUACCACAUAAGAUAUCUUGAAAAAGAUGUUUACAGGUGGUUAAAGAAAUUAAUCCCAAAUUGGAAAUGCUAAGAUAAACACAAGGCUAAAUUUUAAAAGAUGCUGAAGAAAGUAAAAAGAUAAUGAAAUUAAACAAGAACUAAAUUACAUAGAAAAAAGAACAAGAGAGUAAUGGAGGAAAUGACCAGUUCAAAAACUAAGACUUUAAAAACCUGAAAAAGCCCAUAGAGGUAACAAACAAGGAAAAUGAAACCUGUAUACAAUGCACAGGGGCUGGAAAAAUGGGAUAAAAAAAUAACUGACUGAAUUACCUAGACAUUUUGAAAAUGUGACAAGUGACAGACCUGAAAAAUAGAUUUAAAAACAGCUAUCUCAGAUAACUUAAAGAAAAGAACUUGGGCUCCAUAUUUCAGGAAAUUGUUAAAGAAAAUUUCUACUUGGCCAAAUUGGCCCAAAAAAAAUUCAGGUAGAAAUAAUUCACAGAACAACCACAAGGAAAACUUCAGCAUACAGUCAAACUUCAACAUUAUGACAACGAAAAUAUUACAAGGGCUAAUGUUGCAAAAUAGGCACCUUAUUUAUACACUGGUAUCUAUUAAUAGGGCUGUGAAUUGGUCCAAGCAUUCUAGAAAGCCCCAAAAGUCAUUAAGCUGUGCAUUACCCCUUAACCAAAUGAUACUAAUAGAACUAUACCCAAAAGUAAAGAGAAAAAGUACCAGUAUGUACAAAAAUAUUCAUAGCAUCUCUUUUUGUUAUAGCAAAGAACUGAAAACUAAGAAGAUACUCAUCAGUUGGGGAAUGAUUUUCAAUAAAUUGUAGCCUGCAAAUGUGUUGGAAUGUUAUUACACCAAAAGAAUAAUAGGGUGGUUUCAGGGAAAUCUGAGAAGACUUCUGUGAAAUGAACAGAACAUGAAGAAAAAUUCACAUCCUAAUUUGAAAGGGAGCAGUUCUUGUUCAUGCCCAGACCACCUGAGCUAGUGUCUAAAAAAUGGAAGAUGCUAAGGAGAUUGGACUUUCUGUAACAUUCUAGGAGAUUUUUUUUUCAAUUGGCUUGUAGCCAGAACUAUUGGUUUCAGUUGCAGUCUCAGACGGGAGGAAAAAGUGAUUCCUUCACUCAGUCUGGUGAGAGACCUUAAGCUCCUUCUUACUCCCCACUGAGGCCACAUUGCCCCCCACCCUGAGAACCAGGAAUUAGAAUCCAGACCAAAUGUUGCAUUGAUACCCCAAAGAACAAGGAACAAUUUUUAGGAGUGACCAUUGCCCCAGCCCAAUAGAAAGAUUUCUUUGGAUAAUGAACUUGAUGGAAGCAGUGCUAUGUAGGAACUGAGCAGAGAUUUGAGCCUCACCCAUCCCCACCAAAGACCAAGGUGGUAUAAAGGGUCUUAACCACUUAAAGAUUUGGGGGAAAUGUUUAUAUAUUUGUUCUUGCUAUAUCCUUGAAAUAAAUAUCCCUGUGUAAAAGCCAAUUGAUGUUAAGUAGUAAAAUGGAACUAGAGUGCUAGUCAUUGGCCCUAUAAAACAGGAAGAAUACUGCCAGUACGGGAUCAAGUCAGUUGCAAUAGAGAAUUGACACAGCACAAAUCCAUGAAAGUACCUUUGAAACCUGAAAGAUAAAUCUAGCAGGUCUAGCCCCAAGAGAAUGGAGUUGGAGUAUAUGUUUCUAUACACCACUAUCGAGACAAACAACUUUGAAAGACUUUAAGAACUCUACUAAUGGUGAUGAUCAACCAUGAUUCAAAGUGACUGAUAAGAAAGCAAGCUAACUACCUCCUCGAAGAAGGGUACUAGACUAAUGAUACAGAAUGAGAUGUUUUUUAAAAACGGCCAAUGUGGGGAUUUGUUUUACUUGACUGUGCAUAUUUGUUACAAAACAGCCAGAUGGUUCAAAAUGGAACUGGAGACAGAAAGACACUGGCCCUGUGUGACCCUGGGAAAGUCAUGUAGCCUCUGUUUGCCUCAAAUUCCUCAACUGUAAAAUGGAGAAAAUAAUAGCAUUAACUUCCCAGAGUUGUUAUGAACAGAAAAUACCUGUGAAGUGUUUUACAAACUUUAAGUGCUAUAAAAAUAUUCUUAUUUUGUUAUUUUUUUCAAUCUGUGAGAAGGAAAGGAACUAAGAAUAUGAAGAGUCUAAGUAUUUUUAAUGCAUAGAAAAGAAGAACCAAAAAUAAUCAGACAUGUAAGAUGGCUUUUAGGGGAGAUCUUGUUGGAGGGGAGGUGGGGCUGGUAGGGAAUCAGCAUUCAUAUAGUAACUACUACUAUGUGCCAGACACUGCACUGAGCACUUUACAAUGAAAGUUACAUGUUGUUUUAUUAGAAAUUUUAGAAGAAAAGCAAAUAGGGAACAGCUAGGUAUCACAUAUAGUGACCCUAGGCAAGGCAUUUAAUCCCCAUUGCCUAGCUUUUGCCCUUCUGUCUUAAAGUUGUUACUGAGACAGAAGAUAAGGGUUAAAAAAGGAAAAGGCAAGUGGUACAUAUAAAAACAACUUCCACAUAAAUUCAGUUUCAUGUAGUCAUCUUCUCUGUUCUCAGUAUAUAGAAAUGUCUUUUAUUUUGUGUUCAGAAUUUUUAAAAACCACAAGCUUCCAGAAAACAUGAAUCAUUUGCCAAGAAAUAACCAUCAGGAUCACAAUGACCUUUUUACGGAAGAUAAUAAAGAAAAAUGGAAAUUGGAAUAUUUUUAAAAUUAAGCAGCAUGAGGGGGCAGCUGGGUAGCUCAGUGGACUGAGAGCCAGGCCUAGAGACAGGAGGUCCUAGGUUCAAAUCUGGCCUCAGACACUUCCCAGCUGUGUGACCCUGGGCAAGUCACUUGACCCCCAUUGCCUAGCCCUUACCACUCUAAUGCCUUGCAGCCAAUACACAGUAUUGACUCCAAGACGGAAGGUAAGGGUUUUUAAAAAAUAAAAUUAAAAAAAAUAAAACUAAGCAGCAUGAGCUUAAUAAGAUGAUAAGAAUUACCUGUCCAACAAAACAGCAUAACUGGCAUUGAUAUCUUAUUUAAGCCUCACAAAACCCUGUGAUGUAGAUAAUGCAGACAUUAAUUAUCCCUUGGAUUCCAAAAAUCAACUUCACAAGUAAGAGAGAAGUUAUUUUUUUCUUUUUAAAUCUGGUAGUUUUAGAGAACUGGAAGCCCACUCUGAAUCAGUUCAAUAAUAGAAUUGUAGACUGCAUUAAGAGAGGUAUAGAUGUCUCUAGUGGUCUAGUGGAUAGAGAGCCAGGCCUAGAAUCGGGAGGAACUGGGUUCAAAUAUGACCUUAGGCACUUCCUUGUGUGACCCUGGGCAAGUCACCUAACUCCAGUUGCCUAGUCCUUACCAUUCUUCUGCCUGGAACUGAUUCUUAGUAUGGAUUCAAAGAAGGUAAGGAUUUAGGUUUGUUUUUUAAAUUUUUAGUGUCAAGGAUCAGGGAAGUAGGUAAUAGCAGCCAUGCUGCCUAGAGACCACAUAUGUAAUACUGUAUUGGUUGAAAGGUGUCUAAUUGAGGGCAGCCAGGGUGGUGAAAGUGCUUGAGUCUCUGCCUUUAACUGGAUCAAGUGAUGAGGAUAAUGAGCACUCCAGGUAUAUCUGUUGAUAUGAGAACAGCAAGUUCUCACAGGUCUAUUUAAUGAGUACACCCAACUGAGGAACGCCAGAUAGCACUCAACUAAGAAUAAUUAACCCUGUUCCCCUCCCCCUAUCCUGACUACUAGAAGUAGAUGAUUUGGCCUUUGCCCACCAAAGUAGCAAAAACAGGAAGUCCCUCAUCUUCAGUAAACCAUUGCUAUUUCAUCAUUCAUGAAAUUCAUAAGAUUUAACUUAUUUUUUAAUGAUCAUUUCCUAAAGGUCUUAGAAAAGCCUGGUUAUUACAUGAGAAUCAGCUGAAGGAUCUUGGGAUAUUUAGCUGGAAGGAAAGGAAUAACUUUAAAAUUUGGAGGAAUAUAUAUGCAUUCCCUCUCACUGUAGGUCUUCAAGCAAGGCUAGACUACUUGGAUGUAUAUGGUAGAGGAAAUUUUGGUUAAGAUAAGAAUUGACUUCUCAGAUUCUGUCAUUUACAACCUUUUCUAGAUACUUCCACACUAACAUCUCCAGCUCAAUAAGCUCAAAACAAUUCACCGCCUUCCCCUGCUGACUUGUCUAUAUCUUCCCUGUCACCUAGGUUCUAACCUGACUUUUGAAACUCUUUUACCUAAUACACAUCCAACUAGUUGUCUAAACCUAUUAAGUAUGCCUCUGCAAUAUCUUAUUUUUGCCCUGUCCUCAUGACUCCCACUGCAACUGUUCUGUCCAGUUCUGGUUUAGUUUCCAAGGAGGAGACGUACACAGUAAUGCGAUACACAAGAGGUACUUUAUUCAAGCUAUAGCCUGGGUCUCCACAAGAAGUGAAAGACCUCGAGCAUUGUGUGAGCCUGGUUUAUAUAGAGGGGAUAGAGGAAGGGGGAGGGGGGGGUUGUCCUGACACCCAGGUGCCAAAAGGGAAGAUACAUCAACCUUAGCCUUUGCUACCCAGAUGUUUAAUAUAUGGUCAUGGUAACCUAGGUCAGGUCAGUGAACCCGGAGAUAACAUAUCCUUAUGAAACCUGAAGUUCUGAGAUAACAUAUCCUUGUGAACCUACAUAAAUAAGGACAUGUCAACCUUAGUUCUUGGGACAAGAGGCCCAUUAGGGGGUCAUCUGGAGGGCAAGUUCCCAUGAUAUCAGUCUGUUUCUUCAUUCCCCACUUCUUUUUAGGGAAAUGAGGAUUCAUACUCAUGGGAAUGGAGUCCUCAUAGGGGCAUUGAUGUCGUUUAAGGGUAGAUAUUGCUGUCUUAGGACCAUGAGUUGGACUGUGUUAAUCUGGUCUUUCACAAACUGGUGUAAACCUCAAAAUUUCUCAGACUUAUGAAUGUUAGGGAUUUCCCCCAUUGGGGAAUCUUCUACUUAAAAAAAUUCCCUAGCAGAUAGUGAGAAUUCUACUUGAAUGUGAGGGCUCCUUGCCUUGGGAAUAUCCCUACUCCACCCUACUUAGGACUGCUUUAUGACAGAGAGCUCCUUGAGAACAAUGAAAAGUACUUUGAUCCAUGCUUAUGGAAGGGACAGGAAGUUCUUUGAGUCAUGACUGUUUUAGAAUUGAUAAAAUGGGAUACUAAGUACCUAUAAAGGUGGGGCAACUUGUAAACUACUUAAACCUAAAAGGGUGAUAACUUAUUCAGAGGUUUUUUCUUAAUGAAAAUUGUUGACACAGCAGCAUUUUUUUCUGACUUACUAAAGAGAUUAAAACUACUCAGCUGUGAAUUCAAAAUGGGCAGUCCUUUAGAAACAACUACAGUGAUUGGUAGAUGUAAGGACUUAGGGGAGGUGACAUAGGAGAUUUUGCCCUUAAAAAUAAGAGCUCAGGGAAGAGCUGGGAAGUCAUUCUGAAGCAUUCAGAUUGGAGAGACUCAUUCUGAGGAGACUGAUUCUGAAACAUUCAGAUGAAGGAGGGAGCUGGUAAAAGCAGCUGAGAUGCUGCUGGCCUGCUGUCAUUAGAAAUCCUUACUUGGAUCUUAUGGUGAGUUAUAAACUGACUGAUUUCUCUUUUAGGACUUAGGUCUAGGCCAUAUUGGCUUGAGGCCCUUCAUACUUAUUCCUUUCUUACUCUCUCUUUCUUUGAUUACUCAUUGUAUUGUUAAUUAAAAUCUCUAUAAAACCCAA